rnacentral:rRNA from 1 species
CCUUUUGUAUAAUGGGUCAGCGACUUAUAUUCUGUAGCAAGGUUAACCGUAUAGGGGAGCCGUAGGGAAACCGAGUCUUAACCGGGCGUUAAGUUGCAGGGUAUAGACCCGAAACCCGGUGAUCUAGCCAUGGGCAGGUUGAAGGUUGGGUAACACUAACUGGAGGACCGAACCGACUAAUGUUGAAAAAUUAGCGGAUGACCUGUGGCUGGGGGUGAAAGGCCAAUCAAACCGGGAGAUAGCUGGUUCUCCCCGAAAGCUAUUUAGGUAGCGCCUCGUGAAUUCAUCUCCGGGGGUAGAGCACUGUUUCGGCUAGGGGGCCAUCCCGGCUUACCAACCCGAUGCAAACUGCGAAUACCGGAGAAUGUUAUCACGGGAGACACACGGCGGGUGCUAACGUCCGUCGUGAAGAGGGAAACAACCCAGACCGCCAGCUAAGGUCCCAAAGUCAUGGUUAAGUGGGAAACGAUGUGGGAAGGCCCAGACAGCCAGGAUGUUGGCUUAGAAGCAGCCAUCAUUUAAAGAAAGCGUAAUAGCUCACUGGUCGAGUCGGCCUGCGCGGAAGAUGUAACGGGGCUAAACCAUG